rnacentral:sRNA from 1 species
UUACGUUAUAGAUGUCUAUGGGCUCCGGU